rnacentral:lncRNA from 1 species
CUAACAGACAGACAAGGCGGAGAUGAGGGGCCGAGAUGCUAACAGACAGACAAGGCGGAGAUGAGUGGCCGAGAUGCUAACAGACAGACAAGGCGGAGAUGAGUGGCCGAGACACGCACAGACAGACAAGGUGGAGAUGAGUGGCCGAGACGCUAACAGACAGACAAGGUGGAGAUGAGUGGCCGAGACACGCACAGACAGACAAGGCGGAGAUGAGUGGCCGAGAUGCUAACAGACAGACAAGGCGGAGAUGAGGGGCCGAGAUGCUAACAGACAGACAAGGCGGAGAUGAGUGGCCGAGAUGCUAACAGACAGACAAGGCGGAGAUGAGUGGCCGAGACACGCACAGACAGACAAGGUGGAGAUGAGUGGCCGAGACGCUAACAGACAGACAAGGUGGAGAUGAGUGGCCGAGACGCGCACGGACUGGACAGACAAGGCUGAGAUGAGUGACCGAGACGCGCAUGGACAAGGUGGAGAUGAGUGGCCGAGACGCGCACGGACAGACAAGGCGAAGAUGAGUGGCCGAGACGCUAACAGACAGACAAGGCGGAGAUGAGUGUCCGAGACGCGCACGGACAGACAAGGUGGAGAUGAGUGGCCGAGACGCUAACAGACAGACAAGGCGGAGAUGAGUGGCCGAGACGCGCACGGACAGACAAGGUGGAGAUGAGUGGCCGAGACACGCACAGACAAGGCGGAGAUGAGUGGCCGAGACACGCACAGACAGACAAGGUGGAGAUGAGUGGCCGAGACGCUAACAGACAGACAAGGUGGAGAUGAGUGGCCGAGACUCUAACAGACAGACAAGGCGGAGAUGAGUGGCCGAGACGCUAACAGACAGACAAGGCGGAGAUGAGUGGCCGAGACGCUAACAGACAGACAAGGCGGAGAUGAGUGGCCGAGACGCGCACGGACAGACAAGGCGGAGAUGA